GCAAACUUGGUCAUUUAGAGGAAGUAAAAGUCGUAACAAGGUUUCCGUAGGUGAACCUGCGGAAGGAUCAUUACAAAAAAUCAAAAAGUGCUUCGGCGCUUUUGGCAGCGAGGGGUUUCGGCUCCGAACUGUUUAACCCUUUGUGAAAACCCUCUGUUGCCUCGGUGGCACUCCCUGCCGCGCGGCGCCCUUCGGCGCUGCGCUUGGGGGGGACGGUCAGUCCACCGGCGGCACCCAACCAAAACCCAUAACCAUUUUGAAGAAGCUGUCUGAAACCUAAAGUCGAAUGACUAUAAAACUUUCAACAACGGAUCUCUUGGUUCCCGCAUCGAUGAAGAACGCAGC
rnacentral:misc_RNA from 1 species